rnacentral:misc_RNA from 1 species
GGCGUUUACGAAACACACUAGAAAACAGCCGGUGCGCACUGGAGGUGAUUAGCUUCUGUGCCGGAUCGACAAGCUUAGAAAGCCAUCCUUUUCCAGCAGAGUUCCUCAGAGCAGUCGGCGGUCGAUCAUACGGCGUCGUAUGCGACCUUCUGAUAGGCCUUUUCUGAAACUUCCCACCUCUUCCUCCUUCGUAUCGAACCUCCUCACGCUCUGUCGCCAUUAACAACACAGAGUUGAGGGCUUCUCUUCAAUGGCGGAAUACAGAGGAAAUUGUUGAAAGGGGGAGAAAGAAAGUAAGGUAUUGAGCAAAUUAGGGUUUUUA